rnacentral:lncRNA from 1 species
GCAUCGGCUUGCCCCGCACUGUGGUGGGAUGUAAAGUGAUAACAGCUAAACGACGCAUGCACAACAUGUCCUGGUGCCUUCUGCGUGACCCCAGAGCAGCAGGUUCUGCACAUGGCAGGUAAGAGCACAGCUGCCAAGACCCCAAGCCUAGUUCUGCUGCUACAAGCUGCUGCGUGACUUAAGGAGAUACUUGAGAGGGACCAUGCCCGGCUGAAGCCCCGUCUCGUGUGGAAGAAUGUCAUCUCCAGUGUCUGCUGCCUCCUCCCUGCAAAGUCUCCCACAAGCACAGGACAAGGGGUGCUUCCACCAUCUCCUAGGAGCUGAUGACAUGUCCAGACCAGGUCUCAUGCUUGGUGCCUGGUGCCAGGUGAGUGAUGACGACCUCCACGGCCUGCAGCUUCUCAUUCUUGGGUGGGAUGGAGCACAUUUUAUAGGUGACCUCGUCGCCUUCCACUGGGACAUACUCCCCUUCCACACUACGGGGGCAUAAAUAAAGCAGUCAGGGCUCACACCGGGACACAGCUCCCUUCCCCAAGACACCAGCCACCCUUCUGGUCACACAGCCACCAAAGCAGGCACCAUCUGAC